CAGCCGCCGCGGUAAUACAGAGGAUGCAAGCGUUAUCCGGAAUGAUUGGGCGUAAAGGGUGCGUAGGCGGUUUGGUAAGUCUGAUGUGAAAGCCCCCGGCUCAACCGGGGAGGGUCAUUGGAAACUGGGAAACUUGAGUGCAGAAGAGGAGAGUGGAAUUCCACGUGUAGCGGUGAAAUGCGUAGAGAUGUGGAGGAACACCAGUGGCGAAGGCGACUCUCUGGUCUGUAACUGACGCUGAGGAGCGAAAGCGUGGGGAGCGAACAGGAUUAGAUACCCGUGUAGUCCCUGUCUCUUAUAC
rnacentral:rRNA from 1 species